rnacentral:lncRNA from 1 species
AUGUCCAAGAAGACUAGCUUGGUCCAGGGAGCCAUAGGGACAAAAAGAUAUUACUGGACUACUAAACGAAAAGUGGACUUGGGAGCCCAACGGGUGUCCCACUCAUUUCUGGUGAUCCUGGAAUGUCCAGCCCCUUUAUUAGGAAGAGACCUAUUUUCCAAAGUCAAUGGGCAAAUUCACUUUGACUCUGGAGGGAUAUCAGUCACAGAUGGGCUUGGACAACCAAUUCAUGUUUUAUCCCUGGCACUGAGAGAUGAAUACAGACUAUAUUCACCAAAACCCCCCGCAGCUGUGGACCCGGAUACGCUACAAUGGAUCCAAAAAUACCCUCUGGCCUGGGCUGAGAUGGCAGGAGUAGGACUGGCAAAACAAAGACCUCCCAUCAUUGUUGAAUUAAAAGCAAAUGCUACCCCUGUGAAGAUAAAGCAGUACCCCAUGAGUCAGGAGGCCCAGCAAGGAGUCACACCACACAUACAGCACCUCCUGAAGGUAGGGAUUCUUAAAAAGUGCCGGUCCCCAUGGAAUACUCCCCUGCUGCCUGUGAAAAAGCCUGGGGGAACAGACUUUAGACCCGUCCAAGAUCUUCGUGAAGUCAACAAACGGAUGAGUGACGUUCAUCCCACUGUCCCUAACCCAUACAUCCUCCUGAGCAGCUUGCCACCAGACUACAUCUGGUAUACAAUCUUGGACUUAAAAGACGCCUUUUUCAGUUUGCCUCUGGCCCCCCAGAGCCAAGAGAUCUUCACAUUCGAAUGGACUGACGAAGACAGUCAAACUGUAGAACAGCUGACCUGGACUCGCCUUCCACAGGGAUUUAAAAACUCGCUGACAUUGUUCAACGAGGCUCUAGGUGAGGACCUCUGUGAGUAUUGGACAAGCCACCCCAACGUUGUCCUAUUGCAAUAUGUGGAUGACCUCAUGCUGGCUGCUACUACCAAGGAGGUAUGCCUAGAGGCCACAGGAGACCUCCUUCAGACUUUGGGGACAUUGGGGUACCAGGCGAGUGCAAAGAAGGCCCAAAUUACUAAACAGGAAGUCGUUUACUUGGGGUACAAAAUAAAACAGGGGCAAAGAUGGUUGACUCAGGCUAUGAAAGAGACUAUUUUACAGAUCCCCAAGCCAAUGACUCCUCGGCAAGUGAGGAAGUUCUUAGGGCCUGUUGGGUACUGCAGGCUAUGGAUCCUGGGGUUUGCUGAAAAGGCCCGGCCUCUAUAUGAAGGAAGUAGAGAAAAUAAGAACUGGACUUGGACUGAGCCAAUGAGGCGGGCGUUUCAGGAACUCCGGCAGGCAUUGCUAGAAGCCCUGGCCCAUUAA